GAGAUGAUGGCUUAGCAGUUAAGAGCACUGGCUGCUCUUCCAGAGGACCUGGGUUCAAGUCCCAGCAAUCACA
rfam:Rattus norvegicus chromosome 3, whole genome shotgun sequence.